rnacentral:rRNA from 1 species
CAGUAGCGUAUAUUAAAGUUGUUGCAGUUAAAAAGCUCGUAGUUGGAUUUCGGAGCUGAGCGUGUGGUCCGCCUUUCGGCGUGCACUGUUCGCUUGGUUCUUCUUCUCGUGGAACGCGUGUGCUCUUCACUGAGUGUGCGUGGGACUCGGGACUUUUACUUUGAAAAAUUAGAGUGUUCAAAGCAGGCCUUUGCUUGAAUACAUUAGCAUGGAAUAAUGAAAUAGGACCAUGGUCCUAUUUUGUUGGUUUUCGGGACCGAGGUAAUGAUUAAUAGGGACAGUUGGGGGCAUUCGUAUUCAAUUGUCAGAGGUGAAAUUCUUGGAUUUAUGGAAGACGAACAACUGCGAAAGCAUUUGCCAAGGAUGUUUUCAUUAAUCAAGAACGAAAGUUGGAGGUUCGAAGACGAUCAGAUACCAU